CAACGAGCGCAACCCUUAUGAUUAGUUGCCAUCGAGUAAUGUCGGGGACUCUAAUAAGACUGCCGGCGUAAGCCGAGAGGAAGGUGGACGACGUCAAAUCAUCACGGCCCUUACGUCUUGGGCCACACACGUGCUACAAUGGUCGGUACAAAAGGCAGCGACUGGGUGACCAGAAGCAAAUCUAAAGCCGAUCUCAGUUCGGAUUGGAGUCUGAAACUCGACUCUAUGAAGCUGGAAUCGCUAGUAAUCGCGCAUCAGCCAUGGCGCGGUGAAUACGUUCCCGGGCCUUGUACACACCGCCCGUCAA
rnacentral:rRNA from 1 species